rnacentral:rRNA from 1 species
GCAUAACGCGAAGAACCUUACCUGGCCUUGACAUUGAUAGAAUCUGCUAGAGAUAGCGGAGUGCCCUUCGGGGAGCUUGAAACAGGUGCUGCACGGCUGUCGUCAGCUCGUGUCGUGAGAUGUUGGGUUAAGUCCCGCAACGAGCGCAACCCUCGUCACUAGUUACUAACGGUUCGGCCGAGGACUCUAGUGAGACUGCCUUCGUAAGGAGGAGGAAGGUGAGGACGACGUCAAGUCAUCAUGGCCCUUACGGCCAGGGCGACACACGUGCUACAAUGGGAUGUACAAUGAGACGCAAUACCGCGAGGUGGAGCAAAAUCUAUAAAACAUCUCUCAGUUCGGAUUGUAGUCUGCAACUCGACUACAUGAAGCUGGAAAUCACUAGUAAUCGUAGAUCAGCCAUGCUACGGUGAAUACGUUCCCGGGUCUUGUACACACCG